UCCCACUCCCACUCCCAGUCAGCCCCCAUCGAAGGCCGGGAGCUUCCAGGAGUUAGGGUUUUCCGUACGGAUCGAUGGCCGUCGCCGACGCGGUGCUACCCUCGCCGCCACCGCCGCCGCGGAUCGUAGUCGCGGUGCUGGCGCUCGUGCGCUUCGUCCUCGACCCGCUGCCGGCGCUCGAGUGCGCCCUCCCCGUCGUGGCGGGGGUCCUCCGCUACCUUUGCUUCACCGUUGCGUGGAUUCUCUCCGCGGCCGAGGCUGCCAAGGUGGUGGCGCGCCGCGCCUGGGACGAGGGCUCCGCCUCCUUCCUGUUCCUCAAGACGCUCAUGGACUUGGCUUUCGUGGUCUUCGCCUGCAGCUCCCUUGUCUCGCUCGCGCUUGCCGCGCUGCUCUUAUGCCCGUCCUCUGCGUGGCGUACGCGGUUGCAGUUCUCUCUGGAUCCGGGUCAGAAUUCAAGAAGGGUGCCUUGGGAGCAAUCAAGUGGGAGUUGGCUCCAGACUCGCACAGGCUACCUCGCUAUGUGGUGCUUGGAUUGAUCCUAGAUGUGUCAGGCCCUGUUUGUUUCAUAAGUCCUAAGACUUUUUUAAGUCCCGAGUCCCUACCUGUUUGUUACAGGAUUUAUCAUGGGCUAGAGGUUAUUAAAUGACAUGCUAAAAGACCCAAAUCACCACUAUAAGUCCCUAUAAGUUCCUUCCUGAGAGUCUUUUUUGAUAAGUCCCAAAUCACCACUUUAAGUCCCUAUAAGUCCCUCCUGUUUGGUUUAGAUGGGACUUAUAGGGACUUUUUUAAGUCCCUAAACCAAUAUGUCCCUGGAAACAAACACCCUCUCAUUCUUCCUCCUAUUUGGCGCCGGUCUUCUGUUAGCCACGUUGUCGCAUGUGGAGGGAUCGAUAUCUCAUGGAGAAAUGGUUGGUUCUGUACUCAAGGAUGUGGGGAUAAUUGGUAUCAACGCGAUAUCCUGCUUUUUUAUCCUUCCGGCUCAAGCACUUGGUGCCUGGAGGCAGGGCCAGGCGGACAGCAAAGCACCAUCGCAGUUUUGUUGAGAUGAAGCUAUGAAGAGAAGAUGUCCGGGGAAUGUGGCAAGGAGCCACAGUUCCAAUUCCGCUGGUGGUUGUGACUUGUGACUUAGGAGUGAUCCCAAGAGAUGCAAGUUUUCAGAGGAAAAGGAAUCUUUGCAGGCUUGCUCCUUUCUACUAUUAGUAGACCCUAAUCGUCAUUAGCCAUGAACACGUUUGCAGACUUGCUUAUUUCUGGUAUUACUAGAUCGUAAUCAUCUAUAGCCGUGAAGUUUGGUGGGUCAUUAUGGGUGUGGUGAUGAUGUUUUACUCCGGGCUACUUGCUUAGAAGUUUGCACCAGAGUAUUGGUGUGUAUAUGAUGGUAGAAUUCGUGCUCUCUGUUUGUAAUAGCCAUAUCGGAAGACAAUGAUUCCACGAGACAUUAAUCUGGUGAUGAAUUGGUAUGACUGUCGUCGGUUUGCACUA